AGAGGCACUCUGUCUUUUUGAGUUUUCAGUGUUUUUGCAUUGAUUCUUUCUCGUCUUUGUGGGCUUAUCUACCUUUGACCUUUGAGGCUGCUGACUUCUGAAGGAGUUUCUGUGGGGUCUUUUUUGUUGAUGUUGUUGUUGCUGUUUUCUGUUUGUUGUUUUUUUUUUUCUUUUCACAGUCAGGCUACUGACUGUUAGCAACCACAGGCUGCUGUGGUUUGCUGGGGAACUGCUCCAGACCUUAGUUGCCUCUGCUUUUCCUGUACUUGGAGGUAUCAACAGUGAAGGCUGUGAAGCAGCAAAGAUGGCAGCCUGCUCCCUCCUCUGGACACUCCAUCCCAGGGUGGGUACUGACCUGCUUCUGGCCCAAAUGCUCCUUUCGGAGGUUUAUUGAAAGGUCUCACCUAGUCAGGAGGAAUGGAAUUAGGCCCUUAUUGAAAGGUCUCACCUAGUCAGGAGGAAUGGAAUUAGGCCCUUAUUGAAAGGUCUCACCUAGUCAGGAGGAAUGGAAUUAGGCCCUUAUUGAAAGGUCUCACCUAGUCAGGAGGAAUGGAAUUAGGCACCUGCUUACAGAAGCAGUCUGGCUGUAGACCAGGUGUGCUGUGUUUGGGAGGACCCUUCCUCAUCCGGACUGCCCAGACUCUCUAGAGUAGGCAAGCUGGAACAGCUCAGUUGACCGAACCACAGAGAUGGCGGCCUCCCCUCCUGCCGGGAGCUCCAUCCCAGGGAGAGAUCAGAGCUCUCUGUCCAUAUAAGCCUGGCUGGAGUGAUUAAAGGCCCCCCACAGGGAGGCCCUGCCCAGUGAGGAGGAAUGGAUCGGGGUCCCACUUUAAAGCAGUUUGGGCACAAUCUGGCACAGCAGCUGUGCAGUGUUGGGGGGGUAUCCCCUCCUCAUCUGGACCACCCAGACUCUCUGGAGCUGGCAGGCUGGAAUGUGCAGUUGACCAAACCAUAGAAAUAGUAGCCACCCCUCCCCCAGGGAACUCCCUCCUGUUUCAGGCAGACUCACUGUGUUGCCAUUGGCUGGCUGGAAUUUCCAAGCCAGUGGGUCUUAACUUGUCCUCACAAAGGACGUGGGGCCCGCAGAACAAUGCUGCUUGGCUCCCUGGAUUCAGCCCCCUUCCUAGGGGAAUGUACAAAGGGAUCUGUCACCUUGCUGGGAAUUCCAGGGUGGAGUAUGUAAAACUCUUGUCUCUGUGUGUACCUGUGCUGAGGCUCCACACAGCUCUGUUUAUUGGAUCCAAGGCCCUAGUAGUGUGGGCUCAUGAGGGGAUCUCCUGAUCCACAGGUUGUAAAGAUCUGUGGGAGAAGCAUGGUUUCCUGGGCGGGUUGCACAAUCAGUCACUGCUUCCCUCUGCUGGGGGUGGGGGUUCCUUUGGCUCCGUGAGGCUCCUGGGUGGGCCAGUGGCCCACUCUGCUUUUCUUUAUUCUCUCCGGGUCAGGAUGAUUGUCUAGUCAGUCCCAGUGUGAGAACCUGGAUAUUUCAGCUGAAGGUGCUGAAUUCACUCGACGCUUUCAUUCCUCUCUGUGCUGUAGGCUGCAGCUGCUUCUAAUGGGCCCUCUUGGUCCCCAACUCAACAAUGGCUCUUGUUUUAGCAGUCUCUCUUUGAUUUUAUAAAUAGAAUGAGUUGUUCUGUUAUGAAUGCCUGCUGCUCUAGUUCUUCAAUAAGCCCAUCACACAAUUUCACCCUGUCAUCUAUAGGCACUUUUUCUGCAGUGUUAACAACAUCACUAUUAUCAUGAUUACCUUAUUCAGAAUCAUUUUGGCCAUUUCACCAUUGGUCAAUGAAUGAACAAGUGGAGCCUUGUUAUCAAUGUUAAAAACUUCUUUAGUAUUCACUUCUUCCAGCUUACUGACGGAUUAUGAAGUCUAUUUUUUUGCAAAGGUAAGGAGUUCAGCCAUCUUUUUUUUCUCGCUUGACAUAUAUAAUCCUUCAAAGCCACCAUCUUGUUUAUCAUUACCACUGGACAUAGCUGUAGGCCAGAGUUGUGCCACGCAUGCACACCUGUUUCAAGCAAUGGCAACAGCAUAUAGAGCAUCCUCAGGCUAAACUCCUUUUGAACACUUUCUCACACCCACACCUCUGUACACCGCUGCUAGCCAGCAUGCUGUUCAAGAAAAGUGUUUUUUUAAUCUACUCUUUAAUUGAUCUAAGGAUACUCUGGUCACAUGGCUAAAAUGAUGAAGUCACAUUUGAGGGAAAGUACAUGGAAUAGACAUUUUUAAAAUGAGAAUUUCAGCUGGGAGAUGAGCAGAACAGUUGUCAUGUAAUAACAAAAUCUUGCCGUCAUCAUCCAGUCGAGUCUCCCUGCAGCAAGCAUUAGCCACUUGGUACCAAACGUUUGUGAAACCAAUCAAAAAAGAUGUCCCUGGUGCUCCACGUCUUUCUGUUAGCAUACUAACAGACUGGUAAGAAACUCGCUCCUUGAAAACAGUGAGGACACAAGUUUUUAUCUAUCACCCCCCUUAUGUGUGCCUGAUGCAUUAACACAUCCCGGCAUAUUCUGUCCUUGGCAGCCUUAAUUCUAGUAGGUGCUGUUUCAUCAGCUGUAGUCAGUGUCUUUCUGAGGCAAUGAUGCCAAAACAGUGAUGUUUCUUCAGCAUUAUAGACUUGUUUUGGCUUCAGAUUUUCAUUAGGCAUGACUGGCAAACUCAAUGAAUUUCUUCACUGCUUUGUGAUCAGCAGAUGCUUUAUCAUCACAAAUCUUUAAAAAUGUAAUGCUGUGUCUUUUGUUAAAUUUCUGCAACCAGCCUAUUGAUUAUUCACAUUUCCUUUUCAUUUUCAGUUCAUCAAGAUCUUUGCUUGUUUCAUGGUCAGCAUACCAUUAUGUGGCAUGUGUUCACUGUGACGUGGACAGAUCCGCACUUUCAAUACAUGAUCAAGAUCUUCAUGUUUGACUUUAUGCAGUUUUCUAAUUUUCACUAACUUCUGUGAAUCAGUUUCAGCACAGAACUUCAACAAUGUAUCCUUCUGUUUCUUCAGGUCAUAUAUGGAUGUUUCAUAUACUCCUGUCCAGUUUCUCCAACAGCUUGGCUUUCUGUGCUAGAGGUAAACAUAAAUGCUUCCUCUUUUUAUCAGUUACCCUGAGGGGUAUUUGUAGGUCAUUUUGUCAUUUUCAGCAAUACCUUUAUACCACAGAGCAAAGAGUAAGCAAGCAAACACAGUUGAGUCAUGCAUGUAGGUCUUGGCUCCAUGUGGGGCAUUGUGGGAAACCUGCCAUCAGCAUGCCUGGCCUGCACACACGCCAUUUUACUAUCCUUUGUGGGUGUGCUUGCUUGCAUGGGGGAAACUGGGUGUCUGUGGAAAAGAUAUAUGGCAGCUGAAGGGAGCUGGGAGGGAUUUUUUUUUUUUUUCUUUUCUGCUUGGGGAUGCCGAGUAAACUGUGUAUUGUGUGCCUGCGUUUUGACUUGACUCGCCAUAUAAGGUCAAGUAUAACAUUUUCAACGCAUGAUGUCAUGCUGGUGCUAAAAAGGUUUUGGAUUUUGGAGCAUUUCAGAUUUUGAAAAUUUGGAUUAGGGAUCCUCAACCUACAUUGCUGCAUAUCUGUCACUCACUUCCACGGUGACAUGGAAUCUGUGUUCACCCAGAAAGCUAACUGAGCUGAGAAAAAAAUCUUAAAGGGAGAUGUCUUUCAUUAUCAUUUCAGUUCAUUUACCGGUUGAUAAUUAGUCAUCUUUUCUAUUUCUUCUUGUUCAAGUUUUGGGAAUUUACACAGGUUAAUUAAUUUACACUUUUUUUUCUUUUUUUUUUUUGAGACGGAGUCUUGCUCUGUCACCCAGGCUGGAGUGCAAU